rnacentral:tRNA from 1 species
GGAAUAAUUGUCAUAGGUAAGACUAAGCAAUUGCUAAUUGUUAGGGUUAACAGCUCUUGGACGUUCGACUCGUUCUUAUUCCG